rnacentral:tRNA from 1 species
AUCUGGCUGGCUCAGUCAGUAGAGCAUGUGACUCUUGAUCUUGGGGUCAUGAGUUCGAGCCUCACGUUGGAUG